CCCUUAGAUGUUCUGGGCCGCACGCGCGCUACACUGAUGCAUUCAACGAGUCUAAAACCUGCUCUGAUAGGGGUGGGCAAUCUUUUGAAUGUGCAUCGUGAUUGGGAUAGAUGAUUGCAAUUUUUCAUCUUCAACGAGGAAUGCCUAGUAAACGCAAGUCAUCAGCUUGCAUUGAUUACGUCCCUGCCCUUUGUACACACCGCCCGUCGCUCCUACCGAUUGAAUGAUCCGAUGAAUAUCAUGGAUUGAGGAUUAUAGCAGGUUCGCCUGUCUUGAUCUUCGAGAAGUGAAGUAAAUCUUAUCAUUUAGAGGAAGGAGAAGUCGUAACA
rnacentral:rRNA from 1 species